GAUUAGCAAUUGGCACGGUUGCUGGAAAGUCUAAGGUGUUGGGCACUCUAUUAAGCAUAAGUGGUGCACUGGUUCUCACAUUUUACAAAGGAGUAGAGCUCAAUUUGUGGUCAACUAACAUCAACUUGCUGCAUCAUGGUGCAGCAACCUCACAGCAAUCAUCUAAUGAUCAAGUCUUGGGCUCAAUCUUACCUGUUGUNNNNNNNNNNNNNNNNNNNNNNNNNNNNNNNNNNNNNNNNNNNNNNNNNNNNNNNNNNNNNNNNNNNNNNNNNNNNNNNNNNNNNNNNNNNNNNNNNNNNUAAUCCAGGUGAUUUUGCUUAUUUAUUUAUUUAUUUUCUCUUCAGAUACAGAAAUUAAUUAAGUAUACACCUUUCACUAAUCUCAUAAUUGCUUUUGUGUUUUCCUAUUUCCUCUUUUAUAUGGACAGGCCAAGAUUAGUAUGGUGUAUCCAAGCUACUCUGGAACUGCUCUUACUUGUGUCUGUGCAGCGAUUCAGUCAGUUGUAUAUGCCAUGUGUGCUGAGAAGGAAUGGUCAGCAUGGAAACUUGGUUGGAACAUAAGACUUCUCACUGUUGUUUACACGGUAAGAUAUUUCUUGAAAAUUUGUGUAUAAUUCAAUGAAUUUGGGGAGUAUUUAAGAUUUGUUUAAUUGGAAUGAUUUUAUUAAUAAAAUGUCAUAAAUAUUAUUUUAACCAUAUUCUUAUUUUUUAUAAAGUAUAUAUUGCAUUAUUUCAAAAUUUUGCACAAAUUGAACAACACACAUCUUGAUUUUAUAAAUUAGGUUGACUUCUUCAAAAUUUUCUCCAAAAAGAAUGCUAUUGUAUGAAGUUCGACAUUCAAUAAAACAAGUCUUAGGUGGUGUUUUUUUUUUUUUUUUUUUUGCUGAAAGCAAUUUGUUUUUAGAAUUUAGGUUAUUUGUUUUUCUACUUUUUCAUGACUUAUUAUAAACUUUUUACUAAAUAGAAAAAGUCAAAAUAUGUCUUUUUUUUUAAAUAGAAAAAAUAACAUAUUGGUUUUUAUUUUUAUUUUUUAAUACUUAAUAUAAAUAAAAUACUAUAAAAACAAACAACCUAAUAUUUAACACUAUUAACCAUUAAAGUUUUAUUUAGACUUAAGUAAAAAAACAAACACCACCUUAGUUGGAAAGCAUAACUGCUAAUUAACAUAUGAAAGACAUUCAAUAUUAAAAAUCGUAUUCAGUUUCAAUCAAUAAAUGGUGUUGAGUUAUAACAAAGUUUUGCUGUGUUGCAGGGAGUGUGGGCCACUGGAUUGAUGGUUGCAAUAAUGAGCUGGGCUGCAAGGCUGAGGGGGCCAUUGUUUGUAUCUUCUUUCUAUCCCUUAAUGCUUGUAACUGUUGCAAUACUGGGGUCUCUCUUACUCGACGAGCAACUAUACUUGGGAAGGUUUGGAUCAAAACUACUCUUCUACUUCAACUUAAAAAGGUUUCAUUUAUUCUGAUAUUAAUUCAUUAUUCAUUUAUGGAACAGCAUAAUAGCAGUAGUGUUGAUCGUAGUGGGCUUGUAUGGUGUUUUGUGGGGAAAAGGCAAGGAGAUGAAGCAGACCGACCAAAUAGAUGGAGCAAAAAGCUCUACGGAGCCAGAAUUGAGAGGCAUUGUCAUAGAAACCUCAUCUAGUACUAAGGGUAAACCGACCGCAACAAGUACUAUUUGUCCCAUCCAAGCUGCUGACUAGGAAUGGCAAUGGGGCGGGUUCGGGACGGGUCGCCCCCAUCCCAACUCCGCCCCGUUUAUUUAAAAUAAAUCUCAUCCCCGUCCCAUUUAAAAACUUAAACGGGGCGGGGCGGGGCGGGGCGGGUACAAUAAAUUCCUAUACCCGCCCCGCCCGCCCCGUUUAACUUUUUUUUUUUUUGAAUUCACCAUUGAAACCGGCGAGACAGGGCUUACUGCCGCAGUGCCGCCGCGAUAAGGUCUCUGUGGGUAAAGCCAACCACCACCCCUCCUUCGUGUACUGCUGCAGCACCGCCAUAAUCAGAUCUCUGUGGGUAACGUUGCCGCCCCUCCUUCGCUUACUGUUGCAGAUUAUCCAAACAAUUCACACGCCCCAGAAAGACUCAGAAUCAAAAGCAACAUUAUACAAUUAACCAAACAAACUGCACUAAAGCCUAGUAGUUGUACAAACUGAAGUUAACCCCAUGUGUGUCAUUCAAAUUCAAAACAGAAAUCAGUUAAAUAUUUUCCCAAAUGCUCUGUUUGGUUUCCAAGAAAAUGUGGGAAAAUAAAAGAUGGCAAAAUCUUGGAAUCUGCAUUUUUCAUCAUUUGGGACCUAGAGACAACAAUGGGGCUUCCAUGUUACCUCUGUUUAGGUUAGUCCUUCAGUUUCCGCGAACCAAAACAUCAUAAAAACAGAAGCUUGACAAUUUUCUUUCAGAAAAUAAAGAAACGAAGAAAUUGGAAUCGCGACUCACAGAAAAGGCGUCGGAACUGAAAUUUCCAGAGGCGGACAGAAGGCGCUUAGCAGCCUGACGAGCAUUGGCUACUUCAGACAGGCAAGUCAAGGGAGACGCCGACGAAGUCGACACAUCCAAAGGCCUCAAACCAGCCCCGAAAUCUCUGAUCUCCUCGAACAAAUGCGUCAAAAGCGCGAUCCUACGGACAAAAUCCGUGCAAUCCCGCUUGAACACACCUCCAUGGGUAACGCCAGUCGUCGCCCCUCCUUCGCGUACUGUCGUAGUGCCGCUGCGAUCAGAUCUCCGUGGGUAACUCCAGCCGCCGCCCCUCCUUCGCGUACUGCCGUAGUGCCGCCGCGAUCAGAUCUCCGAUUGUUGAAUCUGACGACAUCACAACCUGGACUGGCCAGCUUCCCCUUCCGGUUCUUCUCUUCGUGUCCUCUCCGGUGAGUCUUGGAAGUGGAGAAGAAGCUCUUUGGUUUCCGGCGACAGGAAGCUGCCAUACCUAGAAUGGUGGAAGAGUUCAAGGGCAAAAAUGUGAUGGAGGAUCGGGGCGGGGUGGGGCAAUACCCGCCCCCGCCUCGAACCCGCUCCGGGUUUUUUAAACCAUUCCCAAACCCGCCCCAAACCCGUUUAAUAAAAUUUAACCCUGUCCCAUUAGGGGCGGGGCGGGGCGAGUACCCGAAAAAACCCGCCCCAUUGCCAUCCCUACUGCUGACCGAGGAUCUGGUGCGGUUUCUCCUGCUGCAGUGGUGCAUGAAUAGCAUCAAUAUAUCAUACUGAUAUCUUUUAUUUGGAAGAAAAUUUUGAAGAAAUUCUUGUAUGUAUAUACAAAAUUCAUUUCUACGCAACCAAAUAUCCUAAAAACAGUGUACCCGCCCCGUAUUUCCUUUGCCUAAAUUGUAAUAUUUUCCGAUAAUAAAUGAUUAAUGUUUCAUGCAAUUUUUAUUUAUGUCACAGUUUGCUAAGUUAUUUAUGGUGGUGUAGGAAGUCCUACAGCUGCUGCUAUGCAUGAGAAUAGCUCUAUCUUCUUACCCUAUCUUAUAUGUGUAUCGUUUUCUAUGAAAUUGGAAUUCCAAAUUAUAGAAAAUUGAUACCUACAUUGGCAUUAGAAUUACAAAUUAAUAUAAUCAUCAUAUAAACUAACGAUGCAUGUUUUGGUCAUAAAUCUGCGGUCUCCAUCUUACAUACAUAUUUUCAAACAUAUAUUGAUUGAUUAAGAGUCAGUGUGGGAAUGAUUGUUGGAAGUUAGAAGUGUUUGGCAAUAGUAAAAAUGAUUUUUCUUAGAAAGUUGGGAGGCAUGACAAAGUAUUGUAAAUGAAUUUUAAAAGUCUAGCUAAUCACUUCUAUAAGUUUUGAAAUAACAUUGGAUGCUGGUGUAUAAAAAUGACUUUUUACAGGUUAGUUUUACUAUGAAAAAUAGUAAAGAAAGUGAAAUAUAAUUAAAAUUAUUAAAAAUUUAUAUAUUUUUAAAUUAUUUAAUCUUUAUAUAGAACAAUUGAAUAAGUGAAAAAAGUUUGAAAUGAUGUAUAAAAAUAAUUUAUUAACUUAAAAUUUUUUUUUUCUCUUUACUUUUAUUUUUUCUCUUUGUUCCCUUUCUCUCGCAUUUUUCUUCAAACUUUUCGAUAAUAAAACAUAACCUCAAGGUUUGAAAAAUAUUUAAAAUUAUAUUUGUAAAUCAAGAAAAUCACUUCAAGUGAUUCUUGAAUUAGCACUUUGAUAUGUGCUACUUCAGCUAAAAAUCAUUUUUUAUUAUAUAAUAUAUUAUCCAAAAAUACUUAAUUAUAUAGGAAUACUAUCUUCUAUACACAUCCAACACCAAUUGAUUCUUCAUAAAAAUAUUUAAUAGAGGUGUUAUCAACAAAAGCAUUAUAAGUUUCUUCAUAAAAAUAUAGUAUUAAAAUAUUUACUAUGGAAGUGAUGCUGAUAAAAACAUUAUAAAUUAAAAACAUUUUUACCAAAAUCAUUCUGAAAUCAGCCUAAACCUACUCAUGCUUCCAAAUGAAACAUCUCAUGAGUUUUGUCCAUUUGCAUGUUGGCAUAUCCUCUCUCCAAACAACUUCACCAUCAAUUAAUUUUCAGUUAAUGAUAAGAAUUUUUUUUUUUUUUUUAAUUUCGAUUACAUCAUAUUAUGAACAUACUUUGUACAAUUGAAGUACAAUUUAUCACAUUUCUUACAAUCUAAUAAAUUUUUUAAAUAAUAAUAAUACUAAAAAAAAAUAAAACUAUUUUUCAUAUUCUAAAAUACACAAACUCUUCAUUUUAAUUUCCUCUACUAGGUGCAAGAUUACCUUAAUUUACAUAUUAGAUAGAAUGAUAGGACACACGAUGAAAGUGGUAAAAGUUAAUGCACAAAAGAAGGAUAAGACUCCACUUUAACCAAUAUUUCCAUAAAUAAAGAGUAAUUAAAUAUUAAUAAUAUUUUAUUAUCUUAAUUUAGAAAAUAAUAUUUAUUUUCCUUAAUUUUAAGAUAUUUUUUAUUUGUUUAUUUUUUAUAAUUUACAAUAUACUAUUGUAUACAUUUUUUAAAAGAAAUAAUAAAAUUCAAGUCUUUCAUUGCAAAAAUUAUCAAAUUUUUUAUUGUAUUAGAGGAAGAGACUUAAACUUGAUUCUUCUCCAAAAGUGAUGGAAUGUCAUAAAAGUAUUGGUCAAAAUACUUGAAUAGGUAGAAAUUUUCAAUUUGGAGGGAAAAAGUUUUACCCUUACUACGUAUUACAAUUCUCGACAAAAACUAAAAAAUAACAUUUCUAAGUAUUACAAUUCUUAACAAAAACUAAAAAAUAGAAAUAAUAAUAAUAAUUUAAUAUUUAUAUGAUGUCUUUGUUUGAUAUUUUUAUCAAUCCUUUGGUAUGCCUUCACCAAGUUUCAAGGUAAGAUGGACAUUCAUAUACAUUCUCACUCUAGAGAAUAUAUUUAAAAAAAUAAAAAUUUGAAAGAGCAUAUUAAGGAAAAGAAUAAACAAAGACAAAAAAUGACAUAUACAAUAGUAAAUCAAAAGCAACAUUUUCAUAAAUAAAAAGCAAGCAAAUAUUAAUAAUAUUUGAUUCUCUUAAUUUAAAAAAUAAUAUUUAUUUAUUUAUUUUAAGAUAUUUAUAAUUUCUUUUUUUCUAUAAUUCGCAAUACAUUCUUUUGAAAACAAAUUAUGAAAUUCAUCAAACUCUUCAAUUAGAAAACGGAAAAUGAAGAAAGAAAAUUCAAGGUUUUUAGUCAGUGAUGUCUACCCUCCCGCCCAUGGCUCCUCUAAGUAAAGCCAGAAGCGAAGAAAUUACCCCUUUGAGUUUUGUCCAUUUGCACGUGGGCAUAUGACUCUAGAAAACGUCCAAAAACUAUUUGACGGCUAAGGCCACAAUCACUUGAUACAUACUUUUUGAACGUCUUCCGUACUGUUAUAUUAAACAAUUUUCAUCUUCAAUAUCAAAUUGUACUGAACUUUCUUUGUCAGUAUGUGGGCCUAGUAAACAUGUCUUAAGUGGAUUAAAAAAUCAUCAAGGCAACCCAAGCACAGCCAAUUAGGGUUGGGUUUCGAGUUAAACUUGUAUACGUACGUCCCAAGCGCCCUUUUCAUCUUCAAUAUCAAACUGGUGACCAAGGACUACACUACGUCUGCACAGACGUCUGCGAAUAUUUUUGUGUGCCACAUCCCAAUUCUCAACAUCCCAACACCCCAAUAUUUUUACUCUAGUACAAUUAUACUCUCAAUGUUAUAUUUAUAGUUUUACUUUAAGUAAAUGUACUCAUUUAUUAUGUCAUUUAUGUAUUAUUUUUUCAUUUAUAUCUCCAUCUAUUUUAAUUUUAUAAUGUAAAUAAUGGAACACCUCAUAUUUAAAUACAACAAAAAAUAAUUUUCAAAAGCUAAUUCUAAGUAAAUCAAAAUCUUAUUUUUCAAAUUUAGUUAUAAAUUGAUAGUUUUUGCUAAAUUUUCUUCGAAAAAAAGUUUGCCUAACUAAAAUUAACAAAGAUAAAAAUCCUAAAAAAAAAUUAUUUCGAAUAUUACCAACAUGAAAAAUAACAAAAUUCGUCACUUUUUACCUUAAAUUUUGAAACAUUUAAAAAUAAACCUAUUUCUCAUACUUGGUAAAAUUUUUACACAACUAAGACAACAAAUAAGGUGAAUAUGAAAGUUUUCAAUCCAUUAUACUAUUUUAUCUAUUCUCUUAAACAAAAUAAAAUUUAAAAUUGGAAAUUUGUAAAAUAAAGUUUUAUGCUAUUGUUAUUAUUUGAAAAUAUAUAUUUGAUAAUAAUCAUAAAAAAUCUAGUAGUUACGUGUACAUUAGAACUAAAAUUCCUAGAAAUGAGAGUAAAUGCUUAGCAUAUGACAUAUUAUAAUUAAACCAUAGUUUUAGAAUUUGAGAGUAAAUAUUAAUUGAUUUUUUUUUCAUCUAGCUUUAGGUUAUUAGAUAGCUUCUAGCUAUAAGAGUAGAUAGGAAUAUAUAUAUACUCGUAGACCACCUAAGAAGGAAUAUUUAUUAUUUGAUUCUUAUCCUAACAUAAGAAGUCCAAUGGGAACAAUACUUGAAAUAGUGAUCCAUAAAAAAAACGCCGAUAUUGAGAUUGGAUAGAACGAGGUUAGAGCCAAAAGGAAUUAUCAAAUAACUUAAUAGAAUUUAUAUGACUACUAUGGAUGGUCCAAUACUUAAUAAACAAGUAUAUCCUCUAGAUGGAAGAAGAUUCUCUUUGAAAGGUAAUUUUGUGCCAUCUACUAGAGCUUGAAGAAUUCCCAAAGGAUCGGCAUGCUCUACGAAUGAAUGGAUUUGAUAAAAUUGGAAAAUGGAAAGAUUUGUAUAAGUUAUACGUUUCAUCACCACUUUGUGGAAAAUCGUUAAGUAUGAAUAUGUUAGAUACUUGUGACUCGAUUGGUGAAAUAGUUUUUGUCACACAAAAAAUAUUUUCUUGUGAAUGAACAAAAUAUUAAGAAAUUGUCCAUAUGUAAAAUCAGAAUUAUUGAUACAGGCCUUUUCCAUUCCUAGAAAUGAGAGUAAAUGUUUAACAUAUAACAUAUUAUAUUAUAAACAUUAUAUCAUUAUCCAUUAAUUUACAUUUCAAAUUCUAUAAUCUUAGACUGACCAUUUAAAAUUAUAAUUAAACUAUAGUUUUAGAAUUUAGAAUGUGACAAAUUCAAUAUUAAUUGAUUUAUUUUUUACUUAUGUAGCUUUGGUUAUUGGAUAGCUUCUAGCUAUAACAUAGUCAGGAAUAUAUAUAUAUAUAUAUAUAUAUAUAUAUAUAUAUAUAUAUAUAUAUAUAUAUAUAUAUAUAUAUAUAUAUAUAUAUUCAAUAUUCUGCUAUAAAAUUGUGCAAAAUGGUUAAAUUUCAAUUUUGUUAUACAUAACUUUUUAUUUAUACAAUAAAAUUAUAAUUUAUCUAUGUAUAUCUUUUGGCUAUAGACUUGUUGAUUGUCAAUUUUGUUCUAUAUAUAUUUCGCUAUAUAACAUAAUUAGAAUUUUUUUGUAUAGUUUGUAACUAUAGAAUUGUUGUUUGAUAAUAAAUUUGUUCUCUAUAACUUCUAAUUAUUAUAAAAAAAAAUUAUAAAUUUUUUUAUAGCUUUUGGUUACAAUAUUUUAAAUUGAUAAUUUUGUUUUGUAUGACUUCUGAUUACACAAAAUAAUAAAAAAUUGUCUACAUAGUUUCUAACUAUAAGAUAAUUGGUAACAAAAAAUUGUGUUCAUAACUUCUAGUUAUGAGUAAAGUAAAUAAACAUUUUAGUAAUAAAAUAAGAAUACCAUAAGAUAUUGUUUUUCAUAUAUCUUUUUCAAAUUAAAUUGUUUGAAGAAAGAAAGAGUGCAUACUUUUCUAGAUAUGAAUGAGUGUUACAAGUAGGCAAAACCUUUUAUGGAUGAAAUCUUCUGUUUUUUUGAACUAGAGUGUCGUGCUAGUAAUGUAUUGUACAAGUAAAAAAGAAAAAGAAAAUUAGAGUGAAUUAUUUAGAGAAAAAAUUCAAAGAAAUUGAACCUUGAAAUUAUCUAACCUUAGCCUUAUUUCAAAGGUUAUAAUUAUAAUGACUAAAGAAAUGCUUUUCUAAUAACUGGGAACAUUAAUUACAGGCAUAUUUGAAAGGUUUAUUAUGCGAAAUUGUGACAUUGAUAAAUAUCUUCACCUAUUUAUAACAAAAAUAUACUUUUUCCAAACAAUUUCCAGAUAUUCAAACUGUGGAGAAUGUUUGAAAUUUCUGUGGGAAUUUGAACCAUGCCCUUUUGGACAUUUGAACCAUUCUUGACCAUUCAAAUGCUGAACCUGGGAGCAUUUGAAUUUACUUCCUACUUCCCUUUCCCGCUUCAACGUUUUUUUCCAUUUUUCCAAAUCUUUUCAAUUUUAAAAAUCAUAUUUAUGUUUACUAACAAUUGGCCUAAUACAAAAAUAAAACAGUGGCCUAAUACAUUAUCAAAAAACACUUCCAGAAAUAUCUAUCUUUUGGUACAUAUAAAUACGUACAAUUGAUUCUUCAUGAAAAUAUUUAUGAUGGAAGUGUUAUCAAUAAAAGGGUCAUAUGCUUCUUCACAAAGAUGUAGUGUAAAAAUAUUUACUAUAAAAUUGGCAUGGAUAAAAACAUUACAAAUUCGAAACAUUUUUACUGAAAUCAUUUCAAAAUGGGCAUAAACCUACUUAUGCUCCCCUAAAUAAUUAAAUCCAUGAAAAAAAUGAAACAUCUCUUGAGUUUGGUCCAUUUGCUUGUUGGGAUAUUCUCUCAGCAAACAACUUCGUCACAAAUUAAUUUUCAAUUCAUGAUAAGAAAGAAUUAAGUUAUUUUUUUCUGAAGAUUUUUAGAUGACAUGAUUUAAUGAAUAUACUUAUAUAAUUGAAUAAUAUUAUUAUUAUUAUUAUAAAAACUAUUUUUCAUAUUUUAAAAUAUACACCCUCUUCAUUUUCAUUUCCACCCCCGGGUGCCUGAUUUCCCAAACUCACAUGCUAGAAAGAAGAAAAUCAAGGUUUUUAGUCAGUGAUGCCCGCCCUCCCACCCUUGUCUCCUCUAAGCAAAGCCGUAAGUGAAGAAACUACCCCAUGAGUUUCGUCAAUUUGCACGUGGGCAUAUGAGGCAAGAAAACAUCCAAAGGCCACGAUUACCUGAUAUAUACCUUUUGAACGUCUUCCUUACCAUUAUAUUAAACUAUUUUCAUCUUCAAUAUCAAAUUGUACUAGUCUUUCUUUAUGCAUGUAUGGGGCUAGUAAAUGUGUCUCAGGUGGAUUUUAAAAAUGAAGGCAACCCAAGCCCAGCCAAUUGGGGUUGGGUUUCGAGUAAAACUCGUACACAUACGUCGUACGUGUCCUUUUCAGAUUUUCCUCGCUGGUCACCCACCCACCGAGGAGCACAAUACGUCUGCACAUACGUGUGCAAAAAAACUCAUCAUCUAACCGUGGAUUCCUGUCGCUGUUGACUCCACCACUAUCUCUAUGCCUAUAAAAUACUCACUUGGUUUGAACCGAUGUCCACAGAGCAGAUCGUCAUUUGGUGUGAGCUUGAGAAAAUUAACACAGAGGCAGCUUUUGAGUUAAUUUGCAGAUUACAUGGCCACUGGAAAGUUGAGGAACCUUUUGGAAGGGCUGAAGCCAGCCAUGACAAUGGUGAUAGUUCAGAUAAUAUUUGGAGGGCUAAAUAUUAUGUACAAACUGGCUAGAAAUGAUGGCAUGAGCAUGAAGAUUUUGGUCGCCUACCGAAAUAUCUUUGCAACAGCUAUUAUGGUUCCACUUGCUCUAAUCUUUGAAGGGUGAUUCUUAUUAAUCUUGUCUAUUUUUUUUUUCCGCAUCUUUAAUUUUGUUUUAUCUUUCAUUCACUCUUUUCAAAUUUAUGGUGAACAUGUAAUUAAAGUGUAUUAUAAUUUUAACAGGAAGAGUAGGCCAAAACUGACAUGGAUGAUCUUCCUCCAGGGCUCAUUAUGUGGAUUAUUUGGGUAAGUCUAAUGAUUAAUUAGAAAAUAUCUUUUUAUGUAUAUAUAUACACAUUAAGAAAUAUCUUUAAUUCCUUCAAUGCUCUAUCUUGUUUGUAAAUGACUUUGCAGGGGUGCGGUUCUUAUAGAGUAAUUUUACUCCAUGUCUUCAUAUUUAUGAUAUGAAAUGUUUUCAAUAAUAUUUUAUCCUACACUUCUUAUACAUAAAAAUUUAUUAAAUAUUCUUAUAUUUUCUGACAUAAACUUUGAUUGCAGAGGGUCAUUAGGUCAAAAUUUAUAUGCCGAGAGCCUAAGCUUAACGUCAGCAACAUUUGUAGCGGCAAUGACAAACCUGGUUCCAGCUAUGACAUUUGUCAUGGCAGUUUUCUUAAGGUAUUUUUUAUUUAUUUAUUUCCUAACGAUAUUUUAGUACUAAAAUUUAUAGUAUUACACAUUUAAGUUUCUUAAGGAACAAAUGCUAAACCCUAGUCCUAUUUUCUUCUAGGAUGGAGAGAUUAGCAAUUGGAACAAUUGCGGGAAAAGCUAAGUUAAUGGGGACUAUAAUGAGCCUAGGUGGUGCAAUGAUUCUAACAUUUUACAAAGGAGUAGAGAUCAAGUUAUGGUCAACCAACAUCAACCUACUACAUCAUGGUGCUGCAGCAUUACAAGAGUCGUCUCCUAAUCAAGUGUUGGGCUCACUAUUGGCUGUGGCUAGUUGUGUCUGUAUUGCAGUUUGGUUGAUAGUCCAGGUGAUCAAGGUUCAGGUUUUCUUUUUUCUUCAAAUGAUAAAUCAAAUACCUUUACUGAAUGGGAAAUUGCUCUCGUAUUUUGGUUUUUCUUCUUUUAUUUGGACAGACUAAGAUGAGCAUGGUGUAUCCAAGCUACUCCGGAACUGCUCUAAUGUGUGUUUGUGCAUCAAUUCAAUCGGUUGUAUAUGCCAUGUGCACUGAGAGGGACUGGUCCGCAUGGAAACUUGGUUGGGACAUUAGGCUUCUCACUGUUGUUUACUCAGUAAGAUAUUUCUUGAAAAUUUUAUAUAAUUCAAUGAAAUAUGAGAAGAAUAAAGAUUUUCUAACAAAGUAUUGAUUGACAUUCAAUUUCUCUUCCAUUCAAACGAUAUUGAGAAAUCGUUUAUGAAUAUGUUAACUUAGUGGAUGAUUUUGAGUUAUAACAAGUAGAAUUUGUUGUAUUGCAGGGAGUGUUGGCCUCUGGAUUAAUGGUUACACUAAUGACCUGGGUUUCAAGGAUGAGAGGCCCAUUGUUUGUAUCUUCUUUCUUUCCCUUAAUGCUUGUAACCGUUGCAAUACUUGGGUCACUGUUACUCCACGAACAGCUACAUAUAGGAAGGUUUGAAUAUUCAAAUUAAAACCACCUCACCUUCAAAGAUUUCAUUUGUGCUCUGACAUUAAUUCUUGGUACCUAUUUUUAUAACAGCAUAAUUGCAGCAGUGUUGAUCAUAGUGGGCUUGUAUAUUGUUUUAUGGGGAAAAGGCAAGGAAAUGAAGCAGACCGCCCAAAUCCAUGCAGCACAAAGCUUUAGCGAACAAGAUCUGAGACAUAUUGUCAUAGAAAAUUCAAGUAACAGUGAGUGUAAACCAGAAGCAAGUGGUAUUAUUGGUCCCAUUGAACCUGCUGACCUAGGAUCUGGAGUGCCAUCUGCAGCUGCAGUGGUGAACAAAUAAUGUCAUAGUGAUAUCUUCCAUAUAAAAUUGGAAGAGAUAGCAGUAAACUAGAAAAGGAAAUUGAUUUGUGUUAUUAAUGUUGUUCAAUGUAUAUUAGAAAUUCAUUUCAGUUAACUAAAAUCUUUUACAAACAAUGUUCCUCUAUUUUUUUUCUCUAAAUUCUGACAAUUGCUGGCAGCAAAUGAGUACUAUUACUGCAAUGUUCUUCACCUACUUUGCUAAUUCACUCUAGUUGGUGAAUGAAUUUUGCUGAUGGAAGGACAACUUCUCCAUCUGCAAAUAUUGAAAUCCAUUUACAGUGUCCUCAAUGAAUAAAACGUAAAAAAGAUGUGUGAAAAUAAAGCUAAGAAUAGUGGGAUCAUGAAACAACUCUAAUAGACCUUACAUGCAUGUAGUCUGGAUGGUGAGAAUGACGAAGGAACCUUGUAAGACUUAGGUGAUACUAAGAGUUCAUUUGGCACUAAUUUUAGAAAACAUUUUUAACUUUUUGAACACAAUGAUAAAAAUUUAUGAAUGUUGGAAAGAUUUCCUAAAAUCACCGGCUCUAAACCAUUCACAUUUGGUAUCUCUGUUUCUGACAAGGGAAGCGCAUAUAAUGCGGCAGAUCUUCGGGAUCACAGUAUGCGGAAAAUAUCUAAAGGUUUUGAUGUGGCAACCUUUGACGUUGAUUUUGGGCAAUAUCACAAGGUCUCUCUACCACCAGAUUCAUCCCGUAUAGAGGGUGUGAUCAAAUAUAGGAAAGGAAGAAGCACAGAAUUAACACCUACCAUCCACUAAGCCAAGCCAUGACUAAUGAAACUCCCCAAUCAUUAAUCUAGUUCCUCCAUGAGGCCAACCACUGUGUGACAAUUGUAUGUGAGAUCUUAAGGCCAAUUUUGACCUAAUGGACUAGGUUGCCGUAGUGGGAUUGACAACUACUCAAGCGCAUCGAAACUAAGGUUGCCCUUGGGGGGAAACUUUCCUUUUCAGACCUCAACACGUCUGAAUUAAUGUUUGUAAGCAUUCGCAACUUCAAUGGAUGCCUCUUUCGUACUGUACUCAACAUCUGCUUGGGCUACUCUUAGGAAUCUUUGAGUUGCACCGGAAGUUUUAAUACUAUACAUUAAUACAAUAAUCCAAAGAUGAAAUCAUUUACUCAUAACCAUAUGUUUGUACCAACGGAUGAAGCCUUGAUCACUUAUUGUGUAAGUAAAAGUUUUAAUCCUAACAUACUCGAAAAAGAAAACAAAGAUAAAAUAAUCCUCGUACAUAGAUAUACAAGGUUUUAAUGUGAUUCAAUAUCAUGCCCAAAUUUGUUGAUAAGAGAAAAUCAUUCCAAUAUUCCAUAAAGAAUAUUACAUAGAUGGAAGAACACAUACAAUUAAGUCUGAAAUAUCCUAAUGUUUCNNNNNNNNNNNNNNNNNNNNNNNNNNNNNNNNNNNNNNNNNNNNNNNNNNNNNNNNNNNNNNNNNNNNNNNNNNNNNNNNNNNNNNNNNNNNNNNNNNNNAAGUGAUCUAUCAUUAGUGUUCUUUCCUUUAGCUUCAUAUUCGUCAACUUCUUUAAUAAGAAAAUUUUAUUCCCAACGGUUUUUUGUUCAAACACUAAUUCCAAUUUCUUCCAGAGAUUAUAGGCAUUUGUUUCAUUUGCCACAUGAUGAUGUGAGGAUGUGUCAAUCCAUUGCCUAAUAUAGGCAAUUGCCUUUUUGUUCAUCUUAUUCCAUUCCAAAUCACAAAUAUCUUUAGGUCUGGCUUCUUCACCCUUAAGAUUAUUUGAAAAAUCUUUAAUGGUGAAAAAAUCUUCCUUCAUGGACUUCCAUAUAGCCCAAUUUGAAUUAUUAAGUUUUAUCAUGGAGGUUGAGUUCCCUUCUAUCUCCAUUCCUUUCGCAACUAGACUUUGAUACCACUUGUUGGGAAGAUAAAGGGAGAGAUUUAGAGUAUUAACCUGCCAAGGUUAAAAGAUUCCUCCACAAUAAUAACCACCUCUCAAGAAUAAUAACCCAACAAAAAUCAAGAAUGACAAUCAAGAACAUUCAACCACAAAAGAGGACAUCAAAUAUAACGUGGAAAACCCCUUUGGAUAGAGGUAAAAAAACCAUAGAGAAAAUUUCUCCCACUUCAAUAAAUGGGGAUACAAUAAUUAAGUUCUGACUUGAGGCGGGAAUCCAUCACCCUAGGAAACAUGAACAGAAAAAAAAUCAGGGAGAAAAUAUACCACAAGAAUUCCCCAAAAGUUUGAUGAAAGGAACCUGUAACUUCACCCUUGAGCCCUAGAACAAUGACUAGAAAAACAACCUUGAUCUUCUUUCAUUUUCUCAAUCAAAUGCCCUUCUCUCUCAUAAUACCAAAACCCUAAUGCUAUUUAUAUAUCCAUAUUUGGGCUUAGGGAAUACCCAAAUAUAAAAUAGCCUAAUAUAUGGGCUCAUGGCUGGACAAACAUAAUCCAACAGAUUAUAGUGGGCUUGUAUAUCGUUUCAUGGGGAAAAGGCAAGGAGAUGAAAAACACCGCCCAAGUCCAUGGAGCAAAAAGCUUUAGCGAACAAGAAUUGAGACAUAUUGUCAUAGAAAAUUCAUUUAACAGUGAGUGUAAACCAGCAGCAAGUGGUAUUAUUGUUCCCAUUGAAUCUGCUGACCUAGGAUCUGGUGUGGCAUCUGCAGCUGCAGUGGUGCCUGAAUAAUGUCGCAGUCGUAGCUUCUAUACAAAAUUGGCAGAGAAAAGGAAAUUGAUUGUGUUGUUGAUGUUGUUCAAUGUAUACUAGAAAUUCAUUUCUGUUCAUUAAAAUCUUUUACAAACAACGUUCCUCUAUUUUUUUCUCUAAAUUCUGACAUUUACUGGUAGCAAAUGAGUAAUAUUAAUGCAACUAUCGCUAUUCAUUAACAGUGUCUUCAAUGAAUAAAACGUAAAAAGAUGUGUGAAAAUAAAUUAAGCUAAGAAUAGCGGGAUCAUCAAACAAUUCUAAUAGACAACAUGGUCGAGUCAACAAUAAUGAUGGGUACACACCUAACAGUUCCUUGGUAUAAUGGCGGAGAGUGUGUUUAAAGGGUGGAAUAUGCUUAUCUUCAAAAGCUAGUUGGUUAUUUUCGGCCACCGAUUUUCUUAAAAGCUUAAACUUUUCGGAUUUUGGCGUACAAUGUAUUUAUAUUAUGCUUCUCCACCAUUCCCCUCUUUCUAUGAUUUUAAGUUUUUAAGAAAAUUGAAACUCAACAUGGUAUCGGUGCUCUAAUUAAUUAGAUAUAUCAUAUUGAAGUUAUUAUCUCAAUCUAUUUAUUUGUCCAAUUAUUUGUGAUUAUAAAUGUACAAUUUUUAUGUAGCUUUUUUAAUGCUCAUAUCUAAUUAUCUAUAAUUAAACAUGUGAUUUGUAUAGUGAGUAAUUAUCUUUAAUCACAUCUGUACAAUGGAUAUAGAGUCGCACAUGAAAGAAGGUGAAUAUGCCUAAUUAUUUGUGAUCACAAAUGUGUGAUUUAGGUGGUGUUUAUUUUUUAAAACUUUUUUUUUAAAAGCAAUUUACUUUUAGAUUUUAUAUUGUUUAUUCUCUUACUUUUUGUUGACUUAAUACUUAUUUCAGAUUUUUUUUAUUGAAUAGAAAAAGAUAAAAUAUUUAACUUUUUCUAAAUAUUAAGAAAAAUAUGUUGAUUUUUUUCACCGUUUCAUAUUUAAUAGAAAUAAAAUAUUAAAAAAAAUAAAUAACUUAAUUAUUAACAUUAUUAAAUAUUAUUUAGUUUUAAAUUCUAUUUAAGAAUUGAGUGAAAAAAAGCAAAGCAACACCUUACUACUGUUAGCCGCCAGUGCACAGCUAUUACUAUCUAGGCCACAUGUAAUAGUUGUUGAGAGUUCCAACAAGAAGAAUAUCUUGUAGUGAUUUACCUCUCUUAAAAGGGAAUAUCUUUGUAGUAGAGAAAAGUACUCAAGAAAAUUCAAACAGAUUUAUGACAACCUUGUAGCCAUCGACAAGCCAACAUUCGAGCUUGAUAAAGUAAGUCAAUUUGCUAGAGCACUGGAGGCAAAGUAUCAAGAAUUCCAAUGGACGUUUCAACCCGAUGGACAGUCUUAAUAUUGCAAGCAAGUUCAACAUGCUUGAUACUCCUAAAAAUUCAAUUCGAAUGACCUGUAGUAAUGGUCUGAAACCCAUCUAGAAAACAAUCUUCAUCCACAUUCUCAAUGACACUUUUCUGACUGAGCAAAGCAAUAAGUGAUGGAACUUCCUCGUGUGUUCUGUCCAUUAGCAUAUGGGUAUAUUAUGCCAGUAAAUUUCGAAAGGGAACUAGAAAAAUUAAGACCACAUUCACACUGCCGACUUUUUUAAAGUGUUCCUUAGUUUUUUAUUCUUCAAAUAAUUGAUGUUUUAAAAAAUUAUAUUCAUGCUCAAUAUCAAAUUGGCCUGCUCUUUCUUUGCGCAUGUUAGAAAGCACAAAACUAACACCUACCAUCCACUAAGCCAAGCCAUGGCCAAUGAAACUCCCCAGUCAUUAAUCCAGUUCCUCCACUAGUAUGCAUGAGGCCAACCAACCUGUAACAAAUGUGUUUGACAAAUUAAUGCCAAUUUUGACCUAAUGGACUAAGUUCCCGUAAUGGGAUUGACAACUACUCCAGACCAUCGAAACUAAGGUGGCCCUUGGGAGGAAACUUUCCUUUUCAGACCUCAUGCAAGAACGUUUGUAGGCAUGCUCAACUUCAAUGGAUUCCUCUUUCGUACUAUACUCAACGUCUGCUUAGGCUACUCUUAGAAAUCUUUGAGUUGCACCGAAGUUUUUAUACCAUAUAUUAAUACAAUAAUUUAAAGAUGAAAUCAUUUACUCAUAACGGAUGAAGCCUUGAUAACUUAUUGUGUAGGCAAAAGUUUUAAUACUAACACAUUAGAAAAGGAAAACGCAAAUAAAAUAAUCUAUAUACAAAGAUAUAUGAGGUUUUAGCAUGAUUCAAUAUCAUACCUAAAUUUGUUAGAGAAUAUUUUAUAAGACAAAAAAACACAUAAUUAUUAAGCCUUCAAACAUCCAAUGUUUUUACACUAUUGUGUCUAUAUCAUGAAUCACGAGCUAUAAUAGAAUUUGUUGUGUAGGCAAAAUCUUUUAAUACUAACAUUGUAUAAAAAGAACACAAAGAUAAAACAAUCUACACAAAGAUAAUUGAGAUUUUAAUGUGAUUUAAGCAACCAUGCUUACACCCAUAAGUGAUAGAAAAUCAUUCUAUUAUAUCAUAGAAAAUAUUAUAGAAGACAAAAGAAUAAAACCUUGAAACAUACCAUGUCUCCCAUUCAUCUUUACCUCAUUACUGUUUUCUCAUCAUGAAUUAUAAUAUUUAUAGAGAUAUUUCUAAUGUACUAAUUCUACAUAAAAAAAAAUCAAAUAAUACAAUGAUAUAUCAAUAUAGGAAAUAUUCUAUAUAAUAUUUGCAACAAAAAGGGAUAUAUACCAUAUAGAACCACAAAUGAAAGAACAUCAAUUCUCUACAUUAUAAAGAAAUUAUAGAGAAAUGAUAAAAUAGACACAAGUUAUAGAUCUUGAAACAAUUUCAUGUUUUCUUACCCCCAAUAUCUACACCUUGAAUGACAAGCCCUCACUCUAUUAGGUGUUUUCACUCUUCUUUACAUCUUGACCCACUCGGUAUAUGCUUUAUAGGUCUUAUCCUGAUCUUGUAAUUAACUUUUUGUCUCCAUGACUUAAAGUACUUAUAGAUAUAUUCCUAAUCUCUUUCUUAUUAUACAAAGAUAUCUAGUAUAACAAAGAAAUAUUAAGUCAAUCUUCUAUCUCUUCAUGACAAACACCUCAAUUGUACACAAGUUAGAAUUUUAAAGCAACUAGACUAAGAUUUAUAUGGUGUUGGAAAUAGAGAUAAGCUUAAAACAUAAAAGUAUAGCACAACAUAUAUUUCAUACUUCAAGUGCUUAACAACCAAGUAAGAAGGUAAAUGGAUAAUCCUUACUUCCUCAAUCUGUGAAUUCUUUUAUAUCAUUGCAUUUAAUCCUAUAAUAUACCUUUGUGAUAUUCGCCACAUCAUGAAAGACAAGUUUUAUGUAUUGAUGAUUGUCCAUAAUUGUUUGUUGUUCAAAAUAAUAAGUUUAAAUUCAAAGCAACUCUAGCCGACAAAAACUAAAAAAAGUAUCACUACCACUUGUAUGGUACUCUAGGUAUUAUCCUUAAGGACUAAAUUAUGGAUGAUAAUGAUGUUAGGUCAAGGAGAUUUACUAUUACCUAAAUUGUAAAGUAAAAAAAUUGAGAAUUGAUUUACUUAAAUUAAGGGCAGUUGGAAUAAUCCUAAUUACUAAUAAAAUUGAAUGUUAAUUUCUAACUCAAUUGAUCAAAUUUGGAGGCUCCGUAAUCCAAUUUUAGGAGUAGAGCUUUGAAGAGAACAAAAGUUUGUUAUCUUCAAUGAUCUUAAGGUUAUUAGGAUACUUGGUCACUCAAGAUCAACUUAACUUCUAUAACUUAUAGUUAUAACUUAAACCUAAUUCUUUGGCUUAGGAUGAAUACAUGUCCCAUGUCUCACAUUAGUUUAUUACCAACAUUGGUUGGGCCUUAUAUGUAGCCUCUACUCCCCACAAGCUUAAGCUUUUAAGAGCGUAUGUUGUAUCGCAUCAUUUUGUAUCAUGGUGAGGUUUGGCCUGGCUCACCUUGUGCUCGUUAACAUGGGCGUUAACAUUGAGUAGGGGGGUGUUUGAAGUACAUAGGAGGGACAAACAAUGACCCAAAUCAGCUGAUUACCAACAUUGGUUGGGCUUUAUACAUGGGGUUACCUUUUCUUUCCAUUAUCUUAGGUUUUUGGGAGUGUAAAUGUCUUGCAUCAUUUUCCUUUUCAAUUCAUAUUUCUAAUUCCCAUAUGAUGAAUGAUAUCUACUUCAGGUUCAAGUCACAACUUUUUAUCACUUACUACUUAUAGAUUUGUAUUAAGGUGGAUAGCUAUAAAGAUAAUCAUGAUAACAAAGGAUCAAGGGUAGCUAAGAGUCUCUAGUAUCUUGUAGUACUUUAGGCAUCAUCUUUAAAAACUAAAAUAUGGAUAACAAUGAUGUUAGGUCAAGGAGAUUUACUAUUACCUAAAUUGUAAAGUAAAAAUGUUGAGAAUUAAUUUAAGUAAAUUAAAAGUAGUUAGAAUAAACCUAAUUACUAAUAAAAUUAAAUAUUGAUUUCUAACUCAGUUGAUUCAAAGUUGGGGGCUCCAUAAUCCAAUUUUACAAGUAGAUAUUUACAGUGAACAAAAGUUUCUUAUUUUCAAUGAUCUUAAGGUUAUUAAAAUACUUGGUGGCUAGAGAUGAAAUUGAGUUCUAUAACUCAUAAUUACAUCUUUUUCUUUCUUUUUCUAACAAGAUUAGUUGUAUUAAGAAUUAUUCUCCUGUUUUAUGCAUGUUUCCAAAAGCAACUUAGGGCUUAGACUGCAUGCAGAUGGCCCUCCAAGUAGCCUAGCUGUUCAUCCUGAUCAUUAAGAUGUCUUGAGGACAUUUUCGAAAAUGAGGCAAGCUUGAAAUUAGAAAAGGGCAGUUCAAGCUCCAUAUGACAAUAUAAAUUACUACUCUAGCAACAUUUUGGAACAAUUCCUUUCUCUGUUCUCUCUUAAGACUUUAUUGCAUGUGUGAUCAUCUUAAUUAGGAAAAUCCAGUUCUCAUUUCAUUGCAUUAAAUGUUCCGAUGCAAUUGAUAAUGUUGAGUCUUAUAUAAUUAAAAUAAAAUUGUUUUAAAUGGAAUCAUGGGCUGUAGCGUGAGUCGUAAUUAUGAAAAUACCAUCUCUGUCUGAUGGCAUUGGGACAAGGUCUCAUGCAUCAAGCUUUAAAAUUUGAAAAUAAACAAGGUAACAUUUUGUAUAUAUAGAAAAUGAUACUCUCCUCAAAUAAGGUAACAUUUGAUUAAUCAAACAAGAAAAUGGUAUAGGAUAUCAAUAAUAUUUGUUUCACUCGAAAAGGACAACCAGAUAUCGUUCACUCUUUUAUUUUAUAUCCAUUAUUCCCCAAAUCUGAAAAUCUUUGCAGAAUCUCAAAGUCAAAUGUUUGACCACUCAAAUAAGUUAUAUAUAUAUAUCUUUGAUCAAAUUUUUUCCUAAAUUCUACUUUAUUUUAGCACUCCCAAGAUUUCAUGCAAUUCAUUCUAGUCUUCAAUGGUAGCUCAGUUUAUAAGUCAUUAGCUUUCAAGGGACUUCCAAGCUAAAAGUAGUGUUUUUCCUUGGUUUAUAAACCUGUACAACUGGGGUAUUAUGAAAACAAUAAUAUUUUAAAUAUCACUGUUACGAUAUCAAAUGUAUAUAUAUAAAUUAUUUUUAAAUUUUUUGAAAAAACAACAAAAGUCAUGGUUCAAAAUCAUGUUCAUUUACAUUAGAGGAAAAUGCGAAGAUAUUGAAGUGAUAUCGAAAUCUAAAUCGGGAACUUUGAAUAUAAAUGAGCACAUAAAUAAAUAAGAUUAAGUUAUACAGGCGUAAAUAGAUUUGAUGUAUAAAUAAUAAGUAUACUUGGUUGUCCUAAAGCACAGAGAUAAAAUUGUAUGCCAUAUUAGACAUGGCCUCCUCCCACCAUCGUUGAAAUUAGUGAAUUCACCAUGACCAAAGCAACAUGCCCAUGACUUUUCUGCACUUGCGUGUAUGAGGUUCCCGUAAUCGAAUUGGCAAUCCAAGACCAUACAUGGUGGUUGCAGACAUGAUUUGGGCUUGGACUUAGUGGAAACUUUUCGCCAGCCAAGCUGCCUUUUUAAGAGUUUGUCCUUUUAAGAGUUUUGCCUACGAUAGACCGCAAUACGCCUGCAAGGAAGUCAGCAAAAGGACCCCCACACAUCACUUUGGAAAGCAUGAUCUAAGUGUGGAUUCUGGAUUGCUCUAUCUGACAUGAUUCCAACAGCCGGCAGCUCCACUAUUAUGAGGGCGCCUCUCUCAGAAAUCCCUUUUUGUCUAUAAAUACUCAUAUGGUUUGAACCAGAGAGUAUCCAAACAGCCUCCCCAACAGCUUCAUUUGCUUCAUAUAUAGUCAUUGGCUUGAGCAAUAAACAGCUUUUCAGUUGGUAUAUUACAUGGCUAGUGGGAAGUUUUGGAAUGUCAUGACAGGGCUGAAGCCAGUCCUGGCAAUGGUGGUGGUUCAAGUGUCACUGGGAGGAAUUAAUAUUAUGUACAAGUUGGCUAAGAGUGACGGCAUGAGCAUGAAGGUUUUAAUCGCCUGCAGAUAUAUAUUCGCUGCAGCUUUUACGGUUCCACUUGCUUUGAUAUUUGAUCGGUAACUUUCAUUAUUUCUUAGUUUUGUUUUGUAGCUUGUGUUUAUUUAAUUUCAGUGUUUCUUCUCUCUCCCUUCUCUUUCUUGCUUUCUCUCUUUCCUUUUUGUAUGGGUGAGCUUGUCCCUUGUGUGGCCUGUAUCACAACUGGGCUAAAGAAAAAUUAUUAUAUCUGUUAUCCUAAAUUUCAUUUUUAAAAAUGGGAGUAUAUGGUGAUGCUUUCUUUACUGACAUUUCUUACAAAUAAGAAAUAAAUUAUCAUGGUUUUAUCUCCGUUUCUCUUUCUCAAUUGCACAGAGAGCAUUUACUAAUAUUUGCCUCAUGUAUGGUAAACAGGAAGAGUAGGCAAAAAAUGACAUGGAUGAUCUUCUUGCAAGGUUCCUUAUGUGGUUUAUUUGGGUAAGUUUCAAAAAAUAUUUUAUUCUUGUAUUUUAUAUCAAAGGUGUUCAAUUUUGGCCAAAAAUGGUUUAGAUAGGUGAGUUUUCCUGUAAUGAAUCUAUACUUUCUCAAUGAACUCUUUCGUACACAUGAUGAAUAGUAUUCUCAAUUUUGCCAAAGCUUAGAUAGGCCGGGUGAUGCCAUGGUAGUUGUCAUAUAAACAGUUGAAAGGAUCUAUGACUAAAAGAUGUCAUUUUCUGCAAGACAUACACUGUUGAGAAUCUAGCUUAGUUACUACAAAUUUUAUUUUCUUCCAUUCAGUAUUUUGUUUGCCCUUCAUCUAGUUACAAUAACAGUAUUUGUAACACAUAAGAACAACUUCUAACCUAAAGUUUGAUUUCAGGGGGUCAUUAGGUCAAAACUUAUAUGCUCAGAGCUUGACUCUAACGUCCGCAACUUUUGCAGCAGCAAUGACUAACAUUAUUCCAGCCAUGGCAUUUGUCCUGGCAAUUGUCUUGAGGUAAUCCUCCUUUUCUUACCAAAAUUUUAAUCCUAUCAAAUUAACAUGGUUUCAAUGUAUGUUAAAGUUCCAGUUUAAUGAAAAAUAAAUCCUAAAUCCUAGCCAUCUUAUCUCAUAGGAUGGAAAGAUUAGCAAUUGGCACGGUUGCUGGAAAGGCUAAGGUGUUGGGCACUCUAUUAAGCAUAAGUGGUGCAUUGGUUCUCACAUUUUACAAAGGAGUAGAGCUCAAUUUGUGGUCAACUAACAUCAACUUGCUGCAUCAUGGUGCAGCAACCUCACAGCAAUCAUCUAAUGAUCAAGUCUUGGGCUCAAUCUUAGCUGUUGUUGCUUGUAUGUGCUUUGCAGUUUGGUUGAUAAUCCAGGUGAUUUUGCUUAUUUAUUUAUUUAUUUUCUCUUCAGAUACAGAAAUUAA
rnacentral:lncRNA from 1 species